AGAGUUUGAUCCUGGCUCAGAGCGAACGCUGGCGGCAGGCCUAACACAUGCAAGUCGAACGGGCUCUUCGGAGCUAGUGGCGGACGGGUGAGUAACACGUGGGAACGUGCCUUUAGGUUCGGAAUAAGCCCGGGAAACUGGGUCUAAUACCGGAUGUGCCCUUCGGGGGAAAGAUUUAUCGCCUUUAGAGCGGCCCGCGUCUGAUUAGCUAGUUGGUGGUGUAAUGGACCACCAAGGCGACGAUCAGUAGCUGGUCUGAGAGGAUGAUCAGCCACAUUGGGACUGAGACACGGCCCAAACUCCUACGGGAGGCAGCAGUGGGGAAUCUUGCGCAAUGGGCGAAAGCCUGACGCAGCCAUGCCGCGUGAAUGAUGAAGGUCUUAGGAUUGUAAAAUUCUUUCACCGGGGACGAUAAUGACGGUACCCGGAGAAGAAGCCCCGGCUAACUUCGUGCCAGCAGCCGCGGAAAUACGAAGGGGGCUAGCGUUGCUCGGAAUUACUGAGCGUAAAGGGAGCGUAAGCGGACAUUUAAGUCAGGGGAGAAAUACCGGAG
rnacentral:rRNA from 1 species